GAGGAAGAGUACGUAUUUCUUUAGCAUUUCUAAACACUACUACACCUUUUUUUCUGGAGCAACCAUACAGGGGCAGACUGGAGCUGGGGAGAGGGUACAGUCAACUCAACUCCACAAACCUAAAGCCCUCAUCUUCCUCCAACUGUCCUGUCCCCAGGCUCCGCGAUGCUCACUGGAGAUCCUGGUGCUGUCUUUUUGUUGCCCACACUAAGACCUCUUCCUCUGUGGCUGUAUUCCUUCCUCACACCCACAGCCAUCUCCAGGCUUGCCCACCUGUCUACCCGCUUCAAAAUGUUGUACAAAGGGCCUGCUUUCUUGGCUUCUUUCUUCCUGACAGCCAGGAGGAGCUGUGUGGGUUCCAGCCAACCUGAUUGUGUGUCCGGGUCCCUGCUCUUCACAGUUGGCGUGUGAGAUGGGUCAUCUCUUGCUUCCUUCCCUUCCUCGCUGCACUGUGACCUCUCCUGA
rnacentral:lncRNA from 1 species